rnacentral:rRNA from 1 species
UACGGGGGGGGCAAGCGUUGUUCGGAAUUACUGGGCGUAAAGGGCUCGUAGGCGGCCAACUAAGUCAGACGUGAAAUCCCUCGGCUUAACCGGGGAACUGCAUCUGAUACUGGAUGGCUUGAGUUCGGGAGAGGGAUGUGGAAUUCCAGGUGUAGCGGUGAAAUGCGUAGAUAUCUGGAGGAACACCGGUGGCGAAGGCGGCAUCCUGGACCGGUAUUGACGCUGAUGCGCGAAAGCCAGGGGAGCAAACGGG